GCACUGGUAGGAAGAGAUGUUACAAAAACUCAACUAUCAGGUAGGUGGACAGAACAUUAAUAAUUCCAUUACUAACUCAAAGAAAUUGUGUAGCAAACCAUAUUCUGAUAUUUCUACAAAACCUUAAUUUAUAAAAAAAAUUCCCAUGAACCAUGAAUGCAUCAUGCUUAAAAGGAGCCCAGAG